GACGAACGCUGGCGGCAGGCUUAACACAUGCAAGUCGAACGCACCUUCGGGUGAGUGGCGGACGGGUGAGUAACACGUGGGAACGUACCUUUAGGUUCGGAAUAACGCAGGGAAACUUGCGCUAAUACCGAAUGUGCCCUUCGGGGUAAGGAUUAUUCGCCUUACGUAGCGGCCCGCCGUUAGUAUUAGUCUAGUUGGUUGGGGUAAGU
rnacentral:rRNA from 1 species